rnacentral:lncRNA from 1 species
GAGAGGCAAAAUCAUCACCUGAACAUGCUUCGCCACAUCGUUUGCUGACUGUCUAGUAAAUUAUUAUCUUUUUCAAGUUUCAUGUGUUAUUUCUUUCAGAGUGUCAGACGUCGAAAGUAGAGAUGAGACUAAAGGGCGGUUUGGUUUAGGGUUUGUAAUGUUUUAAAAUUUUAUAUGUUUUUUAUUUGGAAGAGAGAGAGAGAGAGAGAGAGAGAGAGGGAGCAUUGUUUAGAGUAUAUAUCCUAUUAGAGAGAGAGAGCAUUGUUUAGAGAGAGAGAGAGAGAGAGAGAGAGAGAGAGAGAGAGAGAGAGAUGCCAUUGUCUAGAGUAUCUUGUUAAAAGAAACAUUCUCAAGCCAAAAACCUACUAAUCUUUGCAAUGACAUCUAAUUGUGAUGUACUAGAUGGUUGGCCUACCAAUCUCUCUAUGCUGAUUUACAAAGAAAAGAGCUAGUAAAUAGUGCAAUUAAUAUUAGAUAUUUUGUAUAAUUUGUUUACUCAAGCUGGUACUGAAAUUAUUAGUUACACAUGUACAUCAACCAUUAAGUAUCUUUGAAAAUCCUUAAGUAUCUUCUUUCUUUUCUUUUUUUUUUGGAAGUAGCUAGCUGUUUAUUUCAAGAUUAGCCGAUCCGUUAUAAUUUUUCCUCAUUAUAUUGGAAAAUCAAGAGAGUUUAGUCGGGUGAUAAAUUGUGAUAGCAUAGAGGCUUGGAAAGAGAAAUUAAGUAAGGUAACAAGCAAUUAUGUACACUAAUUGUGAUUUACUCUAAAAAAGCUAGCAUAAGCUUCAUAUAUAUUUCUUUGCUUUAUCAAUGCUCGACAAAUAACAUAAACACAUUUCCCAUAGAAACAUAAAGGAAAAGAAACAUUAUCAAUGGUCGACAAAUAACAUAAAACAAAUCUCCUAUAGAAAAAUAAAGGGAAAGAAACAUUAAUUUCUUCCUUUCGAAAUAAUUUUACCUACACUAAAUCAUUCUAAAGUUCAAAAAAAAAAGGAAGCUAUUCGAAGCCACAAAUAUAUAUAUAUAUUUAUAGAGAGAGAAAGAGAGAGAGAGAGAGAGAGAGAGAGAGAGUGAAUGGGGCUACUAUAUUAUCUAUAGUAUCGGAUCUCCGGUACUGUAAUCUAGUUUUCGAUCUUAAGGUGUUCAAAUUAACAAUCCACAUCGUCAAAUAUGAUCUAAGAGAUAUAUAUAUUCACAUCACUUAAGUGUUGAACAAACAGAUGGGGGAGAUUUUAAGCUACUUUUGACAAAGAAGUGUGAAAUAAUUAUGGAAUUGAACCGAGUAAAUAAACAUGGAAACAUAUUUACAACUUGUCAUCAAGUUUUUAUUCUAUGAGGUGAAAAGACAAUUAAACAUGUAUCUAUAUGCAUGCCUCAAUUGGAUCAAAAGUCAUCGUAAUCUAUCAUCCGCGCGAUCAUGCUACGUGUUGUUUCAAUAGCGAAUGGGCGGCGUAUAAUAUAUGUUCACAGUAAUCACAAGUUCACAAAAAGUUGCUGCAGUGCUUCUCCAACCUCACGAAAUUUAGCUAAUCCUAUUUUAACAACAAUUGGCCAUGUGCAUGGUGAUCCAUUAGGUUUAUGUAUGUUGUUUGUAUAUUGUUGUUUUUCUCAUCCCAAAGUUGAGAAAAUGGGUCUACUUAGAUGACAUGUUCAAGGGUGGUUGCAUGAGUAAAAACAAUGUUAUAAAAGCAAACGCGACUUUAAUUAAGUAAUAUAGGAGGUAAAGUUGGUUUAGUGUACUUGAAUGAUGACUCAUACAACUCUUUUAUAGUUCCUAGCUAUAAUUAAUCAUGUGAAAAAGAAUUUCUUUCAAAGGCAACUCCUUGUGUAUAUGAGUAUAUCGAUCCCGUGUGGAUUAGUGAACUAAAUUAUGUUAGAUAAGCAUGACUUAAAUAUAUGAUUAGCCGUCGCAAAGCAACAAAAAUGGACUUAUUAUGUCACACCACCCCUAUAUAUGCUACAUUACCUAAAAAAAGCAGUACCUCUCAAGUACUUGGCUUCGAUUAAUUAAUUCACUUAGCGUGUAAAAAAUGUCUAUGGCGGUUAGGUCUAUUAGAGAACUCUCUUAUGUUAACAUUUACUACUUUAAGCUACUCCUUUCGGUACAUCCAUUGACAUCGAAUUAACUAAAGUAAAACAUGAUAAGCAUCCCUUAAGUUUAUGAGUAGCCGCCACAAGACAACAAAAGUGUGCUAACUUAUGUCACUUCCCCUCUAUUAUAACUACAUUAUCUGAAGAUUAAUAUUAAUUAUUCACUUUACGCGUACUUAAUUAGCUUCGAUUACUUAAGUGGCCACUUUAGCUCUUGCUUAUAAGCAAUUGUUCCUAUAUAUAAAUGCUUUGCAAAGCAUGUUCAAAUAAGCAACUAGCUCAUUUCCUCUUAUGGCAAAAGUUCACCCCUCCUCUUCUUCUUCUUCUUCUUCUUCUUCUACUUGUUGUUACAUGAGCGCGAAAAGGGAGAUUUUUACUAUAUGGAUGAAGUCCCUAGUGUUGAAUGGAAAUGGUUGCACCGUAUACGAUUCGAAGGGCCAAAUAAUAUUCCGCGUCGACAACUAUGAUUGCAAGUGUAGUGGCAAAGUGUAUCUAAUGGAUCUUAGUGGCAAGGUCCUCUUCAAGAUCCUAAAGAAGGUAAAUUCACAACUGAUCUCUUAAAAGGAUUUUUGAACUAAUUCAAUUCUGAUUUCUUGUUAUUAUUCUUGUUGGUGUUAUAGAAACUAUUCUUUGGGAGAUGGGAGGGCUAUAAGUGGAAUGGCCUACACCAAGAGGCAAAUCCAUGGUUCAAGGUUAAAAAACCAUGUAGAAUUCUCAAAGGAUCAAGUGAACAACCAUACUGUGAAAUUUGGAGCAAAAGUGGGCAACUUUUGUGCUACAAGAUCGAUGGAUUUAGUAGGAAAUCGUCGCCUUACAAGAUCGUCGAUAAUUUGAGUGGACUCGUCGUCGCGGAGGUACGUAAUUAAAGAGACUUAGGAUUAAUGUUUAAUUUGGUACUAAGAUUUGUUGAGUUUACAUUGUUUAGUGGAUUUGGAAUGUGCUCACAAUUGAUGUUCAAUUUUGUCUGAGACAGGUAAAGAGGAAGCAAACAAGCUCAGGAGUUGCAUUGGGAGAUGAUGUAUUUAGCUUAGUGGUUGAGCCCAACAUUGACCACUCACUUAUCAUGGGGCUUGUGAUUGUACAUGGGCUCAUGAAUCACAUCUUGUAAAAAAGCAUGAGAAAAUCAGCUUGCUAGAGGAUCUUUUUUUCUCUCUCUUUUCUUUUUUUUUUUGUUUUUCCUUUUUCUUUUCUUUUUAUUUUUUCUUCCUGUUUUGGUUUUUUUAGGAGAAAACUUCCAUUAGCCUCAUCGUGUUUAACAUAUUUUCACUUUGUUAUUCUAUGAUUUGAACUACAUCACUUUGCCCUUUUUUAUUUUGGUUUUGUUUUAUCACGAUGGCAAGAUGAUAUAAUUUACAAAUUGCGAAAAAAUAAAAUCAUUAGUGUAGCUAAAUGACACUCAACAAAUAACAGGGUACAGGAUGGUAAGUGAGAGGGGCUAAUUGAAAGUCUUUUUUUUUUUUUUCUAUUAUAUAUGCUUUUUUAUGUGUGUAGAUGUGGAGUUUGAGAAUGGUAGGGUUUUUACUUCACCUUUUCCUGCUGGGGUUUUAUGGAUCUUGGAAAGUUGUUUAGCCUCUUGGACUUUUAAUUAUAUUUCAAAAAAAAAUUUAUAAAAUAUAAAUGAAAAAGUAAAAAAAUAAAAUAAAAUACACGGCAUCGUGUCAGCCAAACAAGGACUGCCCAAACAAACCGUGUGUUAGCGAAACAAAGACUGCCCAAACAAACCGUGUCGUGUUGGGUGGCGAGAUUAAUGCUUUGGUAUGAGCCCGAAGAGAAAGUCUACUAUAUAUCAGUUACACCAUAAUAUUUAUAUUUAGCCAAUCAUACAUUUUUUUGAGAGAAAAAAGUAUAACAAAAAUAUAUAUUUUUUAAAUCAUGAUAAGAUGGGUGAAUUUUAGAGGCCAAAUGUGUUGGAGACGCUACAUCACUUAUAUAACAACUAUAUUUUAGACAUUUUUUUGAGCCCGAAUGGCGGAUGAAAUGUCUGACUAUCUUUGGUAUGAGCUCAAAUCAUUACUUUUUUUAGAAUAUAUGUUAUUUUUUAAGAGUGAGCCCAACCAACUACAGUAAACAGUCAUUUCAUUUAAAAGAUUUUGUGAUAGAAAAAAUUUUUCUCAAUCAACUUUCAAAGAUUAACAAAAUGAUGUGACAUGCCAAGUUAUUAUUUUAAACCAGUCAUUUCAAACUUUGAAUCUAGUGAUUAUCAUGACUAAUAUUACUAGAAACAGUGAUCAAUGGGCUAAGGAAUAAUAAUUUGGCAUUAGGUGUCAUAUUUUCAUACAAAAAAAGUAUACAAAAGAAUCAUGAUUCAAAACAAAUUUGAGCUACUUACAACAACAAAUCACAACAAAUCACAAAUUUUAGGAUGAAACUAUAAAUUUGAACAAUGGGAUGAAGGGUGUAAUUAAUUUACUCUCCACAGCCCAAUACUCCUCUCUCUCUCUCUCUCUCUCUCUCUCUCUCUCAUCUUCAUGCUUCUCAUGUGUAUCCCACCCAUGCACCUAAGUCUCCUACAUAAAUAACCCACAUGACUUCACUACACCAUCACUCACCCCAAUCAAGGGGAAUACCUGUAAACCUAUUCAUGUACAAUGCAAGGAAAAGUAAUAAAUUAUUUUCUCAUAAGGAAUCACCAUCACAUUGACUGAACAUCAUCACAUUAAACCAUGUGCACCUUUGGCUCCCAGAUCUGAGUGAUGAUCAAUGUUCAGCCAAUGAGAGGAUUCUUCCUUCACAGGGGCUUGCUUCUUUUUGUCAUUGGCAAACUGAAUUGUCUAUUUAAUAAUCCAACUAAAUAAUGGAAAUAUAAGUACUUUCUUUAUUGGGUUAAUUUAAUACAGGUCUUUGUAAAUAUAUUCCUAUAAAAUUUAAUUUUUAUAUAUUAUUUUUGCAAAAAUUUUAAUAUUUUUAAAUAUAUUCCUAUCGUUAGAAUCCGUUAGAAAAAAUUAGUUAACUAUAUGUAAAAUACUUAACCCUAAUUAGUUAAUAAAAUGAAUUGACCUUUUUAUCUCUCUUUAAUUAAGAGUUGAAGUUUUUGAAGGAACAUAUUUAUAAUGAUAAAAAAGUUAUUUUGCUUAUAAAAUAAACAGUACUUUAACUGUAACAAGCCAGAGGUACAUAUUUAAAAAUAUUAUAACUUUUAUGGAGAUAAAAUAUGAAAAUUGAACUUUGUAAGAAUAUAUUUAUAAUUUACUAUUUUUGCAGGACCCGUAUAAAAUUAAUCCUUCUUUAUUUUGUAGUCUCCUAGUAGAACAAUAAAAAAAAUGGCAUUUAUAAUAGUCCCUUUCAUCCUUGUUUAUUCUUACCUUAUUAGCUAAGUUCAGUUACCUAUAAUUUACUUGUUUGGCAAUAUGUAAUUGAGAAUGUUAUAGUUAUAAGGUGGAUUACAAAAUGAUCCUUCAAAAUUACUAACAUUUGUUGGCUUAAAAGGACCAAUAUCCUAUUCUGUGAUGAAAGAUCAGAUUAUGUCGAGACAUAUUUGAAAUGACGUGAGAUUGGAUUGAGUCGAGUCAUGAUCGAAGUGGCGUGAGGCUGGUUGGACUGAGUCACAAUCGAGAUUCGUAAAUGCCGUGUCUGUUCACUUUAAAUUAAUUAGUUGUAUAUUUCUAACUGUUCAAGUUUUGAAGAUUAAUGGUUACAAUAUAGGUUAUGACAUAACCUAUAUCGUAACUUAAAAUGCCGUGGACCAAACAAUCUCUUGAUAAAUAGAAACUUUGAAUGUAACAAAGAACUAAAUUGAAUUCUAAAUUUUAAGAAGUGCUACAAUUUAGAAAUAUCACCACUGAUUGAAAGUGGAAAAGACAUCAGGGAACCACAUUAUAAUCACUUAAAAGCUACAAAUUCCUUUUUGCCCGCAAAAAAUAGAUUAAGAAUUAUAAAAUGAAAAACAACAAUAAAUAAAAUUCCAUGUAUAGUACCAAGAACCGAGAUUACAACUACCAUCAGUUACAGCAAUUUGCACAUUGAUCAAUACAAAUAAACUACAUCUUAAUCUAAAGAAAAACCAAAAAACAAAAUGUAAAACAAAAACAAGGUAAAAAUGCAAUAGAUCGAUCUUACCUCAACUGCAGUGCGUUCUAAAAUAGAUUAUCCGAAAUUUAAAAAAGUUGAAGUACUUUUAAAAUCAAGCAGUAGAAUCAUCACGCAAUAAGACUAGGUUAUGAAAUCAAAUCUUUUAAAAUUGAUAAACCAAUUUCAAAAUGCACCGUAGAUCAGGAACAAUCCACGGAUUUUGUCACCGAAUCUAAAGGGAAAAACGGAAAACGAAAGGGGGUGGGAGGAGGAGAGCGGAGAGAUUAAUUAGGGUUUCACCAGCUCCGGCAUUGGGUGAUGGCGGAGCAGCCGCGGGAGUAGGGGUUGCCCUGGGCGCCGGGGCGGCAGUUGUAGUACGACGCCCCGCGCUGCGAGCACGGCACGCUGUCCCGCCGCAGCGCAUCGUAGCCGAUGUAUCCCCCCCACCCCCACAGCUCCCUCCGCCGCGCCCCCUCGUCCUCCGCCGCCGCGUCGGAGCCGAGAUCGAGCUCGCCGCCGCCGUGGGCCGCCGCGAUCCAGGUGAGAUCGCCGCCGCCGGAGGAGGUGGUGGCGGAGGAGAUCGGAGCGAUCGAGGCUCCGAGUAGGAGGAGGAGGAGGAGGAGGAGGAGGAGGAGGAGAAUGGAGUGGGCUAGGGUUCUCAUUGCGAUCUCUCUAUCUCUCUAGGGGGUUAUUUUGGGGGGGGGGGGGGGAUGUUGGGUUGUGAGGGAGAGGAGAGAGAGAGAGAGCGCGAGGAGAAAGGAGGGUUUUAAACAGCGAGAAGGGGAGAGAUAUGGUGCUGGGUUUUGGACGGAAUUACGAGAAUGCCACUACACUACGGGAGAGAUUCCUCAUAAUUGGGUAGUUGCGUUUGUGCGACUCGUUACUACCGCGUCCGUGUCGUCCUGUUAGUUAAUUACAAAUAUAAUAGAUUAUAAAUUUUAAUUUUAUAUUAUUAUUAUGUAAAAAAUUUUAAUAUUUAAAUAUAUCUCAGCCGUUAGAAUUCGUUAGAAAAUUUUAAUUAAUCAUAAAUAAAUACUUAAUUUGAUUAGUCCUAUAAAAUAACAUAAUAUUUUUGCCUUCUUAUAUUAUACUAUUUGACUUUUAGAAGAAUAUAUUUGUGAUAAUAAUAUUAACAUUUUAUUUAAAAUAUAAGCGGUUUUAUAACGGUAAUAAACUAGAAAGACAUAUUUAAAAAUAUUAAGAUUUUUAUAAAAAUAAUAUAUAAAAAUUAAACUUUAUAGAAAUAUAUUUGUAAUUUAUUGUAUUUGUAAAUAGCUGUAUGCAUUUAAUCCUAAAAAUAAAAAUAAAAAUGAAAAAAACAAUUUUUUUUCUUUCUUUUAUUUAAAGAGAAAUUAUUGCAUAUACUCUGUAAAUUUAUAUAUCUCAUGCACUAAACUUUGUCAAACUUAAAUUUUGGUUAAAUAAAUUUUAGAAGGUCCUCCUAUUUUUAUUAAAUACAUAUUAUUUAUUUUUUUAUUUGUGUAGUUUUCAACUUAAUGAUCAAAUUAAUUGGACUCGUUUCAUGCUUAAUUUUGGGUUUAAUAAGAAGAUGAGAACCUCCUCGUUGAAGUUUUAUUUAUUUAUUUAUUUAUUUUUUUGAUGACAUAUUUGCUCCACACCAUUCACAGAGUGACAGAAUCCAGGACGAGAUUUCAAAAACCCGAAAUCCGAACCCAUCUACUAAUUCUAAAAUCCGAAUACGAUGAAUUUUAAAAAUUCAUAUCCAAACUCGUACAGAUCAAAAAUUUAAAAUUCGAAUUCGAAAUAAUUAUUUCCUUUUAUAAUAUUUCAAAACAUAUUAUAUUAAAUAUAAUUUUUUAAAUACAAAUUGAAGUAUAACAAUAUAUAUAUAUAUAUAUAUAUAUAUAUAUAUAUAUAUAUAUAUAUAUAUAUAUAUAAAAUGUAGAGUAAAUUCCGGUUCGAGUCGAGUUCGAUUCUAAUCAGGUAUACAAUAAAUCCAUAUCUGAAUUUAUCGGGUUUUAUAGUCAUAUCUAAAACUGGAUCUGCUUAGCAUUGAAUAAAUCUGUUCUGAUUGGAUUUGAAUUCGAAUAAACUUUCGAGUAUCCAUGCCCUUCGGCAUCCCUAAGUAUAUAUGAUGAAGCUAUUGUAUUAACAUAAAGAGAGAGAGAGAGAGAGAGAGAGAGAGAGAGAGAUUUGUAUUAAAGUAUGUGUACAAGGUGGAACAGGAGGAAAUAAAGUAUUAAAAGGACUUCAACAGUACCUAACCAGUCCACUAGUAGAAAAAAAUGAACAACAAGGCUUAUUAGUUGGAGAAGUUCUACACUGUCACGCUUGCACCACGUCAUCAAUAACAAACCAAUCACAUAUCUUCUUUUCAAACAAAAGUACAAUAAAAAUAUUUUUUUACAAUCAUGAUGGGACAUAUAUUUUUAAAAAAAGUUAUUUGAUUGGUUUGUGACGCCACAUCACCAAUAUACCCGGUGUAUUCUAGAAUUUUUCUUAAUAGUUGAGGCUUAAUAGCUCCUGCAACCAUGGCCCACACCCACUUGGAAAACACUGCAGCUAGCUUCGAUUCAUAGUUUCAUACAUGUAUAUACAUGUACAUAAGUAGUUAUAUUUUAAUGAUCUCCCUGCGCAGUAUCAGUUUAAGCAGUAACAGUUUCCAAUGUUAGAUCCAUCUAAUUUCUUUAAUCACGUAAAAUGUGAUUAUAUAUAACAAACAUUAUAUAUAUAUAGCUUCAGAAAGAGAUUAAUUAGCACGCCACAUCUUUGACCGACCGUACCAAGUUCAGUUGAGUUCGAAGUCUAAUUAUUUUAUAUUUAUAAUUAAGUUCGUCUCCAAAAAAAAAAAAAAAAUCGACAUCUUUGUGAGAUCUAGAUUUGUCUUGUAGCGAUCACUCUUGAACGUACAUGAGUUUGGAGAGAACGGCUCAGGGAGUAAUGCUAUGCUCGCAUACAAAUCCUAUAACAUUUUAAUAGCGUACAAGAGAUGUAAAUAUAUAUAGUUGGUACAGUUCACAAGAAGGAUACAUAUAUAGAGUGUAAAUAACCAAAUAAUACUUUUUAAGAAAUUGCAAGAUGUACCGGCCGUCCCUAAUUGAUUCCCAAGUUUGAAUUCUAAUUGAUUUAUAUUUCCAGCUAAAUUUAUUUUUUUAAUGAAAUAAAGCGAAGCAGGUAGCAUGCUAUCUAGAGAUGUCAACGGAUUGGAUUCGAGGCAGAUUUUCAAAAAUCCGAACCGAACCCAACUCCAAACCCGAGAUCCGAACCCGAAUUUGAACCCGACGGAUUUUAAAUCCAUAUCCAAACCCGAACCCGACAAAAAAUCCGAAACCCGAAUCCGAAUCCGAAUCCGAACAUGAAAAUUUGAACCCGAAACAAUUAUUUCUUUUUUCAAUAUUUCAAAAUAUAUUAUAUUAAAUANCGAGUUCGAGUUCGGGUCGAGUACAGUCAAAAUCCAUAUCCAAAUCCAUAUUCAUCCGAUUUCUACUUUUGAUAUCCAUAUUCGAAUCUAUAUCCAGUUAGUAUCGAAUAUAUUCGUUUCAUUCGGGUUCGGAUUCGGAUAAAAUUUCGGGUACUUAUUGACAUCCCUAAUGCUACCUAUCAUUUAAAUUAUUAUUGUAUCAUUUAAAUUAAGUCAAUGCCUCGCCAUCUAAGAAACUGGGGUUUUAAGUAGGAGGAGCUUAUGAUUUUUAAGAGUCUAAAUGAUGUAGGCCUAAACUGUGUUGAGAGGAAAGAAAUAUAAACACGAAAAAAGAGUGAGACAUGAAAAAUUAAUUUUUCUACGAAGACGAAAAUAUUAUUAAUCAACUCUAAAAAUAUUUAUAUAGAGGCGAUAUUCGAAUCCUACUGUAAACUAAGAUAAUAAAUUUUAAUAUAUCUCUAGACUAAAUUAGAUAAAAAAAGAACCGAAUAAUCCGGCUCAGAAUAGACAAAUAUAAAGUUUUGUAAAAGUAAUCUAAAAAUAUAAAAACAAAUGCCAAAACAAUUGAAUUUUGGUUCCAAAUUCGGCUGAAACAUCUUUGCUGUUUGACAUGUGGAUUUCGAAAAGUAUUUUUUGAAUUAGAAUUGCACGUUAAAAUAAAUCGCUUGACCGAAAAAUUAGACAAUUUAAAAAUUUUUAAUGCUGAUUUGCAAAAAUUACUACACUCGGCCGCGGCCCAGCUCGGUUGAGUUACGUUUUUUCAGAAACUCUAGUACUAAAUUGACUACACCACUAAAAGUAUAUUUUUAUUUCUGGCUAUUUUAAAGGCUCCAAAUACUUUAUUUGACCAACACUUUAUUUCUACUUUGGAGUUGAAAAUUUGCUACAUGAAAAAAUAAAGCACCCAGGAAGUUAUUAGUCUAAGAGCAAUUAGUCUAAAUGCUACUACAUUUAUAGAAGAAAGUCUUCUAGAUUUCCUUAGUAAGAGUCAGUACCAUACACAUAAGAGCAACUUAUUUGUUUUAUUUUCUUAAAACCAAGCAUGAUGCCGUCGGAGACGAGGCUUGGGUUCCCGAAAAUGCUAUCCAUCCAAGUCCGGGCAUAUCUGGGCCAUCCAAUGUGGAUGUUCUUUAUAUAUUUCAGUUUAUAUGGACGGUGCAAUCGUCCUGUACGCAUUUUUUUUGCUGCAAAUGGGUUACACCCAAGCUUUGGCAUAAACGUCAACUUUAAAGAAAAACUACACCAAUCACUAAUUACCAAUAUGUACAGUACCAACUUAUAAAAAAUAUGGUUAAUUGCAUACAGCUCUCUGUAAAUAUAUCGAAUAAUAAAUAUAACCUUAUAAAGUUCAACUUUUCAUAUUUAUUUUUAUAAAAUUCUAACAUUUUCAAAUAUUCUCCUACUGUUAGGAUUCGUUAGAAAAAUAUAGUUAGUAAAAUAUUUUUACCCCUUUUAUAUUAUUUGUGAUAGUAUAAAGGAAGAAAAUAACCGUUGAAGGUUUUUGGAAGGAUAUUUCUGUAUAAUUCUAAACAGUUAGGGCUUUUGGAGGGACAUAUUUGUGAUCAGAAAAAUAUCAUUUUACUUAUCUUCCGUUAAAAAAUAAAUCGUGCUCCAGUGGUAACAAACCAGAGGGAUAAAUAUAAAUAUCACUGAAUUUUCGUAAAGAUAAAUAUAAAAAGUUGAACUUUGUAGGGAUAUUUUUAUUAUUCAAUAUAUUUAUAAGGAGCUGUAUGAAAUUAAUCCUAAAAAAAAAAAAACCUCUUGGGGGGUACACCGUACACAAAGCGCAAUUCAAAAAGUUUAAUCCGAGACCAAAAGUGUUUUGGGCCUAAGCUUCAGUUGCCCGGUCCAGGACCCGGCUCAAAAAUCGGGCCGGUAUCCGACCCGGUUUGUGCCCGAGCCCGGCCCAUUAAACGUGUCGCGAUUAGGGUUUUCGACUCCUCGAGGAUGAGGCGCACUAUAAAUACGAGCUCUUCGCCACACCUUUUUCAAUCUCUUCGUUUUCGUUUGCUACGCUCGUCGAUCCUCCGCCUCAUCCUCGUCCCCGGAUUUUUGGUAACCUUUCCCCCCACCCCUUAAACCCUAGACAUGUUUGAUCCAAUGUGUUUGAUCGAUCCUCUUUAUCCUUCUUUGUUGAUCUCCUUUCGUAGAUUUGGAUCUACUGUUCUCAAAUCGAAUUUUGCGAUCAAUUUGAUCUGCGCUUUAUUAGUUUCAUAAUUGUUGAUCUAGGGUUUUCUACAUAGGAACUGUUUAAUUUUAAAUCUCUUGAGUUCUUUAUCUGUGGGAAAAAUGGCUUUUUUUAUUUUUUUUCUUUUUUAAUCUAGUGAGAACAUUCCACGAUUAGAUGUGACUUGUUGUGUGCAGGAAAAUAGAUCUAUGAAUCGUGUGUGUACAAAGUUUCCACCUUUAUGAUGCCCAUAAAUCUUUAAAAAUUUGCAUACAUGUUAUCCCUGUUAUUAGAUGACUAUAGUAAUUAAGGGGUUAAUGUAGUUGUUUAGGCUUUUAGGAUUAUGCAUGCAAAAAAAAAAUACUUAUGAGGUAGUUUAAUUGUGUACCGGAAUGUAUUCUUCAUUCGAUUGAGGAUUUGUUCUGCACUGGUGUUUAGGGACGGAGCCAGGAUUUUUAUCUUUGUGGUGGAAACACAUGAUUGAUAAUCUGAUAGUGAAGAAGAAUUAUUGCUUUUAUUUUUGUGAUAGUUCUAGCUUAAUAUUAAUAUAUGCUUACUAAUGCAUUUAUUUAUAUUUGAUCUCCAAAAAAGACCUGUAUGCUCAGGUAACUCAACUCUUUGCUUUAGCACUAUGAACCUAUAGAAAACAUUUUAAAAUAGAAAAUGGUGUUUUAAUCAAAUCUGUCUCAAACUAUUUUCAAAUCAAUGAGUAAUGUUAAAAAGAAUUGAAUUUCUUUCUGGAUUAUAGUAUAUCGAUGUUUUCAUACUUGUGCCCAUUUUUCUCUCUUUCUGCAUCAAUUUCGAAAAUAUGUCAGCCGGAGAGUAAGCAUAACUAAGGUCUAGUUUGUGAAUGCAUUCUUCAUGAGGAACUGGUUAGGAAGCUACAUGCUUCGCCGGUGGAGGAUCCCACCUCUAUUUCAUAGCUGCGGAGGAGUGGAGCUUCAAUGCAAUUUUGGAUUUUUUGCGAGCUUUAAAUUAUUGAAGUGAUUGUGUUUUGAGAAUGAUAUCCUAAGCUAGGUCUAGAGAUAUCAUUUAGAUAGCCGUCUGUGUAGAUUGUCUUCACUGAGAAGUGGAACUAUACCAUUGUUGUGAUACUAUCAUGUGGGGUAGGCAGUAGGCACUAUAUAUCUAAGGGCUUUGUUCCAAUGGGGAGGUGGCUGGGUGGGAUGAGGGAGUGAACCAUAAGGCCUUAUUGCCCGCUUUCAAUGGCAUUACUAGGAUACUUCAUGAAUCGUGACACUGAACUUUCAUUUGAGUAGUAAUCUCUAGAAUUUGUUGAAUUUGCUUUGCAACUUUGUCUUUUAUCUGAACCUUUGCAUGCAUCCAGGCUUUUGUUGUGUCUCUUUCGCAAAUCCGGCAAGAUGCAGAAUGAGGAAGGGCAGAUGAUGGAUCUCUACAUCCCGCGGAAAUGGUACAUGAAAUAACUGUCAUUGGACUCGAAUUUGUUGAAAUGUUUCUAUUUUUCUAUUCUUUAGCUUCUGAUGGUAUCAUCAAUCUUAUCUACUUUUUUUUUUUCCUUUUUUAUUCUUUUUUUUUGGGGGGGGCAGUUCUGCCACUAACAGGCUGAUUACAGCAAAGGACCAUGCUUCUGUCCAGAUUAAUGUUGGGCAUUUGGAUGAGAAUGGUAUUUACACCGGCCAGUCAACCACCUAUGCUCUCAGCGGUUCCGUUCGUGCCCAGGUACAACAUUGGGCUAUCUACCUUUUUUUGGGGGGGUUUUAGUUACACGAGCAUCAUGCAAACAUAGAAAUUAAGAAUCUGUCGCUUUUAAUGUAUACUUUUAUUGUCUUUGAUAGUUUAGUCUCCUAAGUAAUUUGUUAUUUCUUUUAUCUUCUAUCUUUUAUUUUGCAAUUAGUGCCAACUAAGCUUUCUAGUUCUUUGCUUUCUAGGAUCAGCUCAACUCAAAUAACCUAUGAUAAAGUGUGUUAAUGGCUGGGUCAUAACCAUGCCUGGAUAGGGAUUUGAAUGUAACCCAAUCGGCCUUGUCCUAGGAGAUUUUUGUUGGAACAGGUUAGCCUGUCCUUGGGCUUCUAGUUAUUUAAUUCCUACAGGCCUGUGUCCUAUCUUUAGCCUAAGAAACGUUAGGCUUUGCCUUUUGUACCCCAUUUGGUGCAUAAUGUAUUACUUUCUCAUGAUUAGGAUCUAUUAAAUUUAAUACCUUGCUAAUUGAGUCGCAUGUUUUAGCUUCUUUUUUCUAAAAAACUUAUUUGGUGUGUAAUCAUUAUUAUUCUCUGUAGCUGGUGAUCCUAAGUAUUCUCUCAUUAUUUCCUCUAGAGUAAUUGCUGGUGUAUCUCUGCAACUAGCUCAAAUAACAGAUUAUCCUUGCACACUUUCAAAAACUAAGUUUAUUUCAUUCUUUCAAACUUAAAAAAAAAACCUUCCAAAAGUGUUCCUCGACCAACCAAAUGUUUUUAAAUGACCAUUAUGCCUCCUCUCCCUCCCACAAUAAGUCCGUCGAACUGAUGGUGUUGCAGCUGCACGGCAUUGGUAGCUAAAUCUCACUGAAACAACACUGAACCACAUUGAGUGCGAAAUGGCAAAACGACCAUUUAAUCAAAAAGGGUAUCUGUGAUCUGUCAAUAGAUAUUGUCUUUAUUGAAGUUUCUGAAGUUUGGGAGUUAUUCAUAAUGUUUGCAGCUAGUCGACUCUAAUUAAACCUUGUUGUUUUUUCAAUUGAAACUCUCUUGUUUGGUUGCUUUUUAGGGCGAUGCCGACAGUGCUCUUGAUCGGCUCUGGCAAAAGAAGAAAGCCGAAAUCCGACAACAGUAGAUUUUCUGUUCUAGAUUAUUAUGUUCGAUCACCGAGCUCGAGAUGGCUUUCGUAAGAAUCGAUUGAGGUUUAAGAGUGAAUUUGUUCUGAAAUUCGGAGUGGAUCCUUUGUUCUAAACAUUACUCUCAGCUUUUUGUCAAACUAUCAGAAUUGUUAGGGCUCUCUUGAAUUCUAAUUUGAUUACUUUUGAACUUAAGAGGCUUUUACAGCUUCAAAGUGUUUGGAUACGGAGAGAUGGUUCGGCUGAGAUUUCUUAUUUGCUUUUUAUGCCUUCUUGUAUGUUAAUGUUUAAGUAGGUUAGUCAGAGAAAAAUUUGCCUCUUUUUUGGUUGAAAGGAAGGGGAUAAAAAGAUGGAAAAUUUUAUUUGUACGUCCCAAAAGAAUUUAUGAAAAUCUAAAUAGAUUUUAGUGAAAAAAAAUUGAUGUAAGGAACAGUUGAUGAUAGUUGUUGAGAUAUGUAAUAUUUUAAAAAUAUUAUAUUUUAUAUAUUCGGAACGGUAAGUUUCUUCGGUAAUCUUGUAUUCUUACUAUCUAGAUAUCUACAAUAAUUUUACUGCUUCAUUAAACACUUUUUAGUACUUUUCAACUUGAAAUUGAUGAUGAUCAUUUAAAUAUUUUUCAAUAAAAAAUACGUUACAAAAAAUAUUGCAAAUCUAGGGCCAAACAUUUCUAAGUGUAAUUGAUAAGUGAAAUGUUUGGCCCUAGAUAUCUACAAUAAUUUUACUGCUUCAUUAAACACUUUUUAGUACUUUUCAACUUGAAAUUGAUGAUGAUCAUUUAAAUAUUUUUCAAUAAAAAAUACGUUACAAAAAAUAUUGCAAAUCUAGGGCCAAACAUUUCUAAGUGUAAUUGAUAAGUCAAAUUUUUUUAUCUAAUUUUUAAAUUAGAUAUCAAUUCUGAAAUAUUAAGGCUUCGUUUUGGGAUUGCGGGAAGAUUACGUUACGUACCUUGUUUGUUUCCGUACACGAGUCGGUUACGAUAUAUUUUCUGCAGUCCCACCGGAGAACGCAGAAGCUGCAGUCCCAUCGGAGAAUGCAGAAGCAUAUCUUUAUAUACUUUUUCUUCAAUUCUAUUUUAUCUAAUAGCGUUAGAUAGACCUCAAUACUAAACUAAGUCUAAAUCAGUCUAUAGUCCCAUCGGAGAACGCAGAAGCUGCAGUCCCAUCGGAGAAUGCAGAAGCAUAUCUUUAUAUGCUUUUUCCUCAAUUCUAUUUUAUUUAAUAACGUUAGAUAGAUCUCAAUACUAAACUAAGCCUAAAUCAGUAGUAAAUCGGCGUUACUAAAAUGGUCACUGGUCUAUCAAUUAUUUUUUAACAGUAUAUUCUGAGAUGCUCACAGGCUUCAGUACAAGAGGCUGUGGUACAACUACUAUUUGAACGGGUACGAGUUGCAGUGUUUCCCUGCAGGGUUCACUUAACUCCUCUUCGCAUUGUUUGAAGGACAUUGCAUUUGUCCCAAAAUUUAAGCAAACCUUUACAAUGUUGUCGGUGGACCCGGUAUCGAAUGCACCAAUCCAAUCUCGUGAUGUUCGGAUCCCAAACAUCAGUUUUAUAUCCAAUUAAUAUUGUUCUAUUCAUCCGAAACCCGUCCCAAUAACCAAAAGCUAACGCUUAACAGUAGCACCCCAGUUAAGUAGGUCAUCAAAUUUCGCAUUCGAUCUCAUACGGGUAUAUACGGGUCCCCCACUAACCUAAAUGGAUGGAUUGGUUUAAAUGGAUCAGUAUUCUACCCUAUGACAGAAGGCUAUGUUAGGCCUAUUCAAGUUCAAGAUGGCAUGAGGUUAAGUGGCCAAAGUCAUGUUCGAAAUAACGUGAGGUUGGUUGAGUCAAAUCAUAUUCGAGACCCGUAGGCGUUAUAUUUGUACGCUUUAAGUGAGUUCAUUAUAUAUAUUUAAUAACUCGAGCUCUUAGAAUUAAUAGUUAGCGCCAACGAUUCAUAAGUGGUAUCAAAGCUAGUGGUGAUUCCAACAUGCUGUAUUAACAGUGCAGGUAUUGAUGAGGGGGAUUAUUGGCUAUUUAUUAUUGGAUUAAAAUAGGUCAAACUUUCUGCCUCGUAAAAAUAGACCUAGGAGACUAUGAGACUAAUAAGUUGAGUUGGAUGAGCCUAAUAAGUUGAGUGGGAUUGCGAUUCACAAGAGAGCUAACGGCAAGAAGUCUAACAAUAGACCUAAUGUUCAGAUAGAUUGAGUCAAGUUGAAGCCCGUGAACACUGUAGUUGAGCUCUUAAGUGCGAUUAAUGUGCCCUUCCGAUCAGUACCUAAAUCCACAAAUCGUACCUAAAUCCAAAUCAAAAACACCCUCCAACCUUGUGUACAAAACAAUGUUCACUUGACUCGUCAAUCUACAACAAGAUUGGUGUUAGCAAUGGUUUACUUAUUUUCUAAUCCUUUCUCCUCAAUUGGUGCUUAAGCUAAGAUGGAGCCAAUAACUUAUAUUUAUAUAUACAUAUUUGUAUAUGAAGUUACAUUUUGUUGUACAACAGCGAUGGUUACAUAUAUACGAGAAUGUUGACGGCGAAAUCCGAACCACUAGUAAUACUGGAUCUAUCCUUUAAUGGAUGAUAUAUAUAUAUAUUAGGUCGAAACGUGCACGUAAAAGCGUGCUCGAUUAGUAGUUGAUCAUGUGUUUUAAUGAGUUGAUUUGGGAGUUUGCUUAUUUAAUUCAUCAUGUGUUUUAUAAGAAAGUUAAUCUUCAAAAUUCAUUUAUUGACUAAAUCAGAAGUACUUCGGUCCCACUCUAAAGAUUUUGUUUAAACUAAUUUCUUCAUAGUUAUCAAAAAUUCGUUCUCUACAUGCUGAAACAUGAGAGAUAAAAACAAAAAUUUUGGUAUGUAUAUAUAAUGUAUAAUAAAGAUAUCUGUGGAUUUUGAUUCUAAUGAUUUUGCAUAUUUUAAAUUGUGGCUUUGGUUGCUCUCAUGGUUCCUAACCAAAAACAUAAGGUGGCAAUCCAUGAUAACUUCUUUUCUCUUUUUUUUUUUUUUUCCUUUUUUUUAAAAGGGUUACAUUGUUUUUUCAAAUAAAAAAAAUGGUUAAUUAUGAACUUACACAUUCCUUCUCACUUAAGGCUCCUAGUCAUGUAUCUAACUCUCUUCUCUAAAUGGCCCAACAAAUCUCUUUUUCAAAUUGCCCUAUUGCUUGCCUUUAUAAAGAUGCCAUUCCCUUUGAAUGCCCGCAUCCAUCAGUGUCAUUGUAUCAUUUCCUCAACAAAUUAAAAAAAAAGGCCAUCACUGCACCAUUGAUAACUACUUUUAUUAUUUUUAAUUAUAGAAGUAUAAAAUCGGCUGUGUUUAGCACAAAUGACAAAAGACUUGAUGGUUGACAUUCGAUAUCUCAAAUUCCAAACCUAAUUAUUUCACAUUUCACCAACUGUCUCUAACGCAAGUGGCAAAUGACUUAGCAGUCCUGAGUUCGAAUCCUAGUUGAUUCAUAUUUUUAGUUAAGUUUAUUUUUAAAUGAAAUAAACGAAGCAAAUAGUAUACUGCCUAUCUCUCAAAAAAAAAAUUUAUUUCAUAUUUUCGGCUAAAUUUAUUUUUAAAAAAAAAAUAAUUAAAAAGAUCAAAGCCAUGAGUUACGUUGUUCAUACUAGCUCAUACUCCAUUAUGUACUACAAAAUAUUAUAUCCUUAUUAUGUUAGUCCCCUUUUUUAAAGGGGAAAAAAAGGAAAACCCUACAAGAGGUUGAUUGAUCAUGAGAGAAUAAACAUAAAAUAAAAAUUAGGUUAUUUGCUACGUUUGACCACUAACUUUUACUCAAUUUUCACUUUAUUUUCUAACUUUUUAUUUUUAUUUUCUGUUUUUCUGCUUAUAGGUUUCCAAUAUUUAUAUUUUAUUUUAACUAGGUUUUAAGUAUUCAAAUUUUCAUUCAUUUUAACAGAAUAAAUCAGUAGUUGCACGGUUUUUAUCUUCUCAAUAUGGCGCGAGAUGGCCUUUUCACAUCCAAGAUUGGGUUGCUUUUUGAGUAGGGAUGUGAACGAGUCGGAUUCGGAGCGAAUUUUCAAAAAUUCGAACCCGAACUUGACUUCAAAUUCAAAACCCAAAUCCGAAAUUGAAUCUGAACCCGAACCCGACGGAUUUUAAAAAUUCAUAUUCAAACCCGAAUCUAUCCAAAUCAGAAACUUGAAUCCGAACCUAAAAAUCUAAAUCCGAUCAUCCUUUUUUAAGACGUCGUUCGAUUUUGACCAUUCAUUUUAUGCGCACUUGAUGGACUUUAUUAUGAUUUCGAAAAUUUACGAAAUUUAUUUUCUAGAAGUUUCAAAUACUUUAAAUCAUAUUUAACGGAGUUAAUCGUCGAUUCGGAAGCUCCAUCAUUGAAAACAACUUAUGAGUACGAAGGCUCCAAUACUCGUAAUAGUAUAGUAGUCAUGGCCUAUAUAUAUAUAUAUAUAUAUAUAUAUAUGUAUAUAUAUAUAUAUAUAUAAUUAGGCUACUAUACUAUCUAUAGUACCGGAGCUCCGGUACUAUAGUCUUGUUUUCGAUCUUAGGGUGUUCAAAUUAACGAUCCACACCGUUAAAUAUGAUCUAGGGUAUAUAAAGUUCUUAAGAAUAAAAUUUUAGUUUUUUUCGACAUUGUUUACUUAGUAAAUAAAUUAUGCCAAAAU